AGCGCCAGGAGUUGAGUGAAAAGUACGGAUUUUUAUGGAAGCCCUACUAACUAAAUUAUAGAUUUAGAGUCUCACUUGACUUGACGAGGAUGGGGAGUAUCGAUUUAUCGGCGGAUGCCCCACGGUAUAACACUAUCGUUAGAAGUUGAGAAAACCAAAAAGUGAUUUUUGGGACAAAUCAAU
rnacentral:ncRNA from 1 species